GAUGAACGCUGGCGGCGUGCCUAAUACAUGCAAGUCGAGCGAACAGACGAGGAGCUUGCUCCUCUGACGUUAGCGGCGGACGGGUGAGUAACACGCGGAUAACCUACCUAUAAGACUGGGAUAACUUCGGGAAACCGGAGCUAAUACCGGAUAAUAUAUUGCACCGCAUGGUUCAAUAGUGAAAGACGGUUUUGCUGUCACUUAUAGAUGGAUCCGCGCCGCAUUAGCUAGUUGGUAAGGUAACGGCUUACCAAGGCAACGAUGCGUAGCCGACCUGAGAGGGUGAUCGGCCACACUGGAACUGAGACACGGACCAGACUCCUACGGGAGGCAGCAGUAGGGAAUCUUCCGCAAUGGGCGAAAGCCUGACGGAGCAACGCCGCGUGAGUGAUGAAGGUCUUCGGAUCGUAAAACUCUGUUAUUAGGGAAGAACAAAUGUGUAAGUAACUAUGCACGUCUUGACGGUACCUAAUCAGAAAGCCACGGCUAACUACGUG
rnacentral:rRNA from 1 species